rnacentral:tRNA from 3 species
GCCCGGGUGGUGGAAUUGGUAGACACGCAGGACUUAAAAUCCUGUGGCUAGUAAUAGCUGUACGGGUUCAAGUCCCGUCCUGGGUA